rnacentral:rRNA from 1 species
UACGGGGGGGGCAAGCGUUGUUCGGAAUUACUGGGCGUAAAGGGCUCGUAGGUGGCCAACUAAGUCAGACGUGAAAUCCCUCGGCUUAACCGGGGAACUGCGUCUGAUACUGGAUGGCUUGAGUUUGGGAGAGGGACGCGGAAUUCCAGGUGUAGCGGUGAAAUGCGUAGAUAUCUGGAGGAACACCGGUGGCGAAGGCGGCGUCCUGGACCGCAACUGACGCUGAUGCGCGAAAGCUAGGGGAGCAAACAGG